GGAGAUGAAAGUCUCCAGGUCUCUCUCGUCGAAA
rnacentral:misc_RNA from 1 species